GGAAAGUUGGCCGAGUCGGUCGAAGGCGCUCCCCUGCUAAGGGAGUAUGUCCCAAAAGGGCAUCAAGGGUUCGAAUCCCUUACUUUCCGCCA
rnacentral:tRNA from 1 species